rnacentral:rRNA from 1 species
UCGUGUCGUGAGAUGUUGGGUUAAGUCCCGCAACGAGCGCAACCCUCACCCCUAGUUGCCACCGGGUAAAGCCGAGCACUCGAGGGGAACUGCCAGCGUCAAGCUGGAGGAAGGCGGGGAUGACGUCAAGUCAUCAUGCCCCUUACGUCCUGGGCUACACACGUGCUACAAUGGCCAGUACAAAGGGAUGCGAGACCGCGAGGUGGAGCUAAUCCCAAAAAGCUGGUCUAAGUUCAGAUUGGAGUCUGCAACUCGACUGCAUGAAGGAGGAAUCGCUAGUAAUCGC